rnacentral:rRNA from 1 species
UACGUAGGGGGCAAGCGUUGUCCGGAUUUAUUGGGCGUAAAGAGCGUGUAGGCGGCUCGGUAAGUCUGCUGUGAAAGUCCAAGGCUCAACCUUGGAAAGCCGGUGGAUACUGUCGAGCUCGAGUCCGGAAGAGGCGAGUGGAAUUCCUGGUGUAGCGGUGAAAUGCGCAGAUAUCAGGAGGAACACCAAUGGCGAAGGCAGCUCGCUGGGACGGUACUGACGCUGAGACGCGAAAGCGUGGGGAGCAAACAGG